rnacentral:rRNA from 1 species
UGAGGAAUAGUGGUCAAUGGACGCAAGUCUGAACCAGCCAAGUAGCGUGCAGGAUGACGGCCCUAUGGGUUGUAAACUGCUUUUAUAUGGGGAUAAAGUGGGGAACGUGUUCCCUUUUGCAGGUACCAUAUGAAUAAGGACCGGCUAAUUCCGUGCCAGCAGCCGCGGUAAUACGGAAGGUUCGGGCGUUAUCCGGAUUUAUUGGGUUUAAAGGGAGCGUAGGCCGUUUGGUAAGCGUGUUGUGAAAUGUAGGAGCUCAACUUCUAGAUUGCAGCGCGAACUGUCAGACUUGAGUGCGCACAACGUAGGCGGAAUUCAUGGUGUAGCGGUGAAAUGCUUAGAUAUCAUGAAGAACUCCGCUUGCGAAGGCAGCUUACGGGAGCGCAACUGACGCUGAAGCUCGAAGGUGCGGGUAUCGAACAGG